rnacentral:snoRNA from 1 species
AGGCAGCCUCUUUGCCAUUGCAGUGGCAUUGGAGGUGUUGCGUUGCUCGGAUAGUAAACCUUUUGCUCUUCAGCUUGGCUGAGAGGGUGGCUCCUGCUUCUGUCAC